UACGUAGGUGGCAAGCGUUGUCCGGAUUUACUGGGCGUAAAGAGCGCGCAGGCGGUCGUUCAAGUCGCGUGUGAAAGCCCCCGGCUCAACUGGGGAGGGUCACGCGAUACUGAUCGACUCGAAGGCAGGAGAGGGAAGUGGAAUUCCCGGUGUAGCGGUGAAAUGCGCAGAUAUCGGGAGGAACACCCGUAGCGAAGGCGGCACUCUGGGCCGGAACUGACGCUGAGGAGCGAAAGCGUGGGAGCAACAGGAUA
rnacentral:rRNA from 1 species